AAUGCCACACAAGAUGACGGAUUGACGACCAGAUGAGACUAUGGAUGCUCUCACAUCAACGAACACGAAAAAGCAGAGCGAUCACAACAUAAAUAGACAGAUUGCAGGAUGGAUGAAUUGAUAGAUCUUUUAGAGAAGGUCAAACUUCUGUGCGCACACUCUCAAACCAUCGGGAAAAGAAGAGAAAUUGAUUGCCGCUCACAAAAGGGUUGAAAUGACCAAGAAAUUAUUUUUCUGGGCAAUGAACAUUGUGAGUGAGAGAGAAGAAGAGAAAGGGGGAAAAUACCCAGCCUCUUUGUAUGAAUUGUCUCAAAGGUAACUAUAGUCAUCUUCAAGAUGUUGCCAGUGUUCUGGUCAAAUGGCCACUCUACCAGGUUUUGAGUUUCGGUACCUCAUCUGAAGUUUGGCCUCGAACGUGGCCUUCACAUUUCGCCGAAAGGAGAUGGUCAUGAUGUCAUCAUUUCACCUGUCAAGAGUCUGUCAAGGUUGCCUUGGAGACAACUGGCACUCGUGGAACCCUAGUGCCCCAUGGCACAGGCUUUCGAUUGUGGAUAUCACUGUUCCUCGAUUGAUGGACGCCUCCAAUCCACACUAUAUUACCCUGCUGGGGUGACAAAGAAGACAUCUAACACUCCCACCCCUUCCCACAGUGCAAAUAAAGACAUCUAGGGGAAAAAAAUGAAUGCUGCUUUAAUCAUAUGACGUCUGUGUGCACCAAGCCGUUCAAACGGCGCGCCACUAAUGGACUGCUGAUGAAUAGACAAAGGGAACAACCAUCCACAGUGAGCAGAACAAAUAGGCCUCCAGCACAAAUGGAGAUUCGCUGUUGUGGGCUGCAGAUGCUAUCCACGGGAACCCGGAAAUCCAAGUGUUAAGUCGAUGUGAAUGCGCAGCGGCAGGUGAGUAAAGCUCUUUACUUUUUGACUAUAGACUACGUCUGAGUGCAGAACCGGUUUCAAAACAAAGAAUGUUCAUUUACAGGAAAAUAUAACUUGCCCGCACUGAAUGAUUGAGAGUGCAUAACAGGAUGCUGCCACCUUGGGUGUCUGUGAAUUUGCCCCUGUUGCAGACAGCAUUUUACUUUUCAUGACAAUGAUUAGAAAAACGUGUCACAUUACGCAGUGUGGUGUUUUAUAGCUGCGGGGUGCGGAACGGUGCGACGGGAAAGGGUGAGAAAGGAAGGGGAAUUGAAAGGUGAUGCACGGUACACCUGUACUCCCGAAGUGAUUGCUUUAUUGGUGAUGAUUCCUUGUGCUCAUUGGUCGGUGUCAUGUUUUGAAC
ensembl:lncRNA